GUCCACACACCUAGAGACACAUCGGAGUUGCAGCAUUUCCUGCUGGAAGGCAAGUGCAUUGCCCCGACCUUGUUCUUCUUUGCCAAGGAAGGGAAUGUGUGAGCUGAAUCCUGCAAGAAGGGGCACUGGGCAAGACGCGUCCUAUUUGUCAGGAGUUUGCAUUCACAAAGAAGGACUAAAGCAGCUUCUCUAGGGCAAGCUCCUUCCGGGGCUGAGGCCAGCCGAGACCAUGGGGGGAAGACCCCAGACUGUCUUCAUGGUGAAGAGAGAUGUCUGCUCCAAUUUGCACAGGGAGUUUUAGCAUCGGGAACAAAAGCAGCGUUUCUAUUCCUCAGUCUUCACAGCAGCAGCUUACCAUUCCUGGCACAUCUCCGUCCUCUGCUUCCUGCAUUUUAAAACCUUGCUAAUACCGCCCUACCUAUUCUCCCCGAGUCCAAAUCCGGAAGAGAAUAAUAUGCUGCUUAUAA
rnacentral:lncRNA from 1 species